GUGACUCUUUUACUUUGAUGUUUCCUGAACGUUUCUGAGUCUGAGUUGCAGCUGUGUUUACUUCUGGGGGGUGAUAAAUUGUCUUGUGUUAUGACUGUAGUCAUAAAAAUCACUAUUUUACCUGAAAACUGAUGUUAGGAGACAUAAAACACGUAAGAAGUCAUGCUGGCUCACUGUGCUGCAUGAUCUGGGAGAAAGGGGUUUUUGUGUGUUGCUCAAAUGAACCUCCGGAGCAGGAAUCCAAAAGAACAAGUUGAAACACAGAACGGUUUCCACACUUUACAUUCCUGCACAGACAGACUCCCACCGACGUCAUGGCAACCUGCAGAAAGAGCAGCAGAUUCACCACAAACCCGCAUCAAACCAGGAGACAGUAAACGCAUCACAUCCCAACGUUUGUUUUGGAACUGCAGCACUUUAAAUCCUCACAGACACGUGUGCAUUCCCGCUCUUACUUUGAAAGGAUCAGAGGUUUUUCCCAUACCUCUAUAUCGCUGUUUGAAAGACAAACAGGAUCUGUGACUAAUGUUUACCUCCCUGUGUCACACGUGGGAGGAUUGAAACUGACGAUCCCAGUGAAGGAAAAGCUGAAACUGCUGCAUGACGUAGGGGACUACAAAGCUACCCAGUACCACUUCAAUGAUUUAAAACUGCAUCACUGCUGAAAAAUCAUAGACAAAUACUGAUAAAGACUGUGUUGAAAAUCCUAGUCUGGCUGUGGUUUCCUAUCAGGCUGACUGUAUGGACAUGGCUUUAAAGCUUCUUCAGUCCUGGACCUAUGGACUGGGUCUAUCUAUUCUACAUCAUGGCUCCACAUGGAAAACAACUGAACAGACAAAGUGAAAAAAAAUGCUCGGAAUUAGUCCAAAAUUAUGUUAGAUGUGAUCAAAAAGGCUCAAAUGGAGUCCAAAAUGACUCUGAAAGUUAAAAGAUUUACUCAAGAUUUGUCCAAAAUAAUUCAAAACUCGUCAAAGUCACUGAAACGUCUUCCAAGACGAGUAUAAAUUUCCAAAGUGAGUCAAAAUUUGCCCAAGAUGAUGCAACAUAGAAAAGAAUUGAACAGAGGAAGUGAAAAAUCUGACUGUGAAUCUCAACAAAGAUAGAAAAGGAUCCAACUAAAAAUCAGUGAAGCACAGAGUCAGCAGGAAUCAGGAGGUCUAGAAGGAGUCAUAGUUCCACUAAUCAGGAGGUCUAGAAGGAGUCAUAGUUCCACUAAUCAGGAGGUCUAGAAGGAGUCAUAGUUCCACUAAUCAGGAGGUCUAGAAGGAGUCAUAGUUCCACUAAUCAGGAGGUCUAGAAGGAGUCAUAGUUCCACUAAUCAGGAGGUCUAGAAGGAGUCAUAGUUCCACUAAUCAGAGCUCCUAAAAUGACUCCACAGACAGUGAACUACUUUCUCCAUCCAGCUGUAAAAACAGACAUCAGCUGCUUCAGACUUGGUUCAGGGGUUCUCCAUGGAAACCAGAGUUAGUGUGAAGCUCAGACAGUGUGAAGAAACCUUCAGAACAUCAACCUCUAUGGACGGAGGACCAGAACUAAACCUGGCUGCUGCUCAGAACUAAACUUCCAGAUGAAAGUUUGCUGAAGAACAUGAGAAGAAGCCUGAUGGAUGCUGGAGAACAUUCUUUGGUCUGAUGAAGAUGGGUGGACUCUGGUUUCCUCCGUGCUCAGGAGGACUAAAGGAGGACAUACAAAGGACUGGAAGAACCAAAGAA